GGAUGCGAGGGUGAUCUGGCUGAGACAUCUGUCACCCCAUUGAUCACCAGGGUUGAUUCGGCUGAUCUGGCUGGCUAGGCCGGUGUCCCCUUCCUCCCUCACCGCUCCAUAUGUGUCCCUCCUGAAGCUGCUCACUGGGUCAAAGAAGACGACCUUCCCCACUAGAGGAGGACUGGUCUUCUCUCAAGGGUAUACGAGUAGCUGUGCUCCCCUGCUAGAACCUCCAAACAAGCUCUCAAGGUCCAUAUGUAUAUAUUUUUAAAGCAGGAUGAGAGAGAGGGGGAUAGAGAGGGAGAAAGAGAGAGAGAAUCUUCCAUAUCCUGGGGUCCCAAGAUUU
rnacentral:snRNA from 1 species